CUAAAAUGAUGAACCUUUGUUAUUGCAUUUUUCUGGCAUCUCUAAUGUUAGGGUGAGAAGUUUAAGUACUAUCCACUCGAUGAAUACAAUUUUUGACUACAUCUCUGAAA
rnacentral:snoRNA from 1 species